CCUACGGGAGGCAGCAGUGGGGACUAUUGCACAAUUGGGGAAACCCUGAUGCAGCGACGCCGCGUGAAGGCAGAAGUAUUUCGUUAUGUAAACUUCUAUCAGCAGGGAAGAAAAUGACGGUACCUGACUAAUAAGCCCCGGCUAACUACGUGCCAGCAGCCGCGGUAAUACGUAGGGGGCAAGCGUUAUCCGGAUGUACUGGGUGAAAAGGGAGCGUAGGCGGCGAUGCAAGUCAGAAGUGAAAGCCCGGGGUUCAACUCCGGGACUGCUUUUGAAACUGUGUUGCUAGAUGACUGGAGAGGUAAGUGGAAUUCCUAGUGUAGCGGUGAAAUGCGUAGAUAUUAGGAGGAACACCAGUGGCGAAGGCGGCUUACUGGACUGUAAAUGACGCUGAGGCUCGAAAGCGUGGGGAGCAAACAGGAUUAGAUACCCGAGUAGUC
rnacentral:rRNA from 1 species